rnacentral:rRNA from 1 species
GACGGAGGAUGCAAGUGUUAUCCGGAAUCACUGGGCGUAAAGCGUCUGUAGGUGGUUUAAUAAGUCAACUGUUAAAUCUUGAGGCUCAACCUCAAAAUCGCAGUCGAAACUAUUAGGCUAGAGUAUAGUAGGGGUAAAGGGAAUUUCCAGUGGAGCGGUGAAAUGCGUAGAGAUUGGAAAGAACACCGAUGGCGAAGGCGGUUCUCUGGGCAUUACCUGACGCUGAGGAGCGAAAGUGUGGGGAGCGAACAGG